UACGACACCCGUCCCCUUUGAUUAACAAGACCUUUUUGGCUUUGUUCUGAAUGAUGUGUAGAUUGCCAGCGCAUGCCCAGCCAUGGCACCCCGGUGAAGACUGAGGGUAGAGGAGAGGGAUGUCUCCUGGUGCUCCGGUCACUGACAUCUGGACUUUCCCAGCAAGCCUUUAAGAUGCCAGAGUCCUCAAGGGACGCCAGAUGGCAACCAAGUUCUUCAUCAGGGCCGGUCCUGAAACGGGAGCAGAAAGCACAAAAUGCAUUACAG